UCUACUUAAUUUUUUUUUCUAAUUGCUGUUUUGUGUUCAUAUAUGUCAUGAAGUGUUGUUUUAGCAUUUCUGAACCUAUAUCUAUCAUUUGUAGGAGAAAUAAUUGUUCUGUUUAAUAAAAUUUAAAAUUUUGUGAGAACACUUUGAAACAGCAAGAGAAUUUGACAUCUUAUACUUUAUUCAAAGAUUUUCAGGAUGGAAAAAGAAAUCACUGAGGGUUUGGAGAAGUUGGGGAAUAGAAAGUUUUUACAAAUAAGUGUUUCUUACAUGUAAUACAAGUUUAAAUGCAGGAUACCUGAAGCACAACAUCUGUACUGAUUUAAAAUGAAGCUGGUACAACAUAUGUUAAAUUUGGUUGCACUUAGUCCAUUUAGAUUUGGCUGGAAGAAGUGAUUAAAUAAAGGGACUUUUUUACACACACACACAUGCAUACAUAGGGCUCUUCAUGAGCAGCCUGUUGCAAAUCAGUAUUUAGUAUUUGCUUGAAUUCAGAAUGACAUUGUUUAGUUUGCUUACAAAAGGCAAUAAGUGUGUCAGAAAUAAGACCCAGUCUGCAUUGAAUAUGAGCAUAAAUUCUAGUAUGGUAAUUCCACAGCUCCACAACACAUACUUGCAUUUACUUCAUUCACAAAUGCACAUAUAGGUGUUUAAAAUAACAAAACAAAUUCGAAAAUUUAAGUUAAGGGAUUACUUAAAUUAAAAGAAUUCUGAAGUAAUUUUCUUCCUGAUGAUUGUGUUGUGUCCAUAUGUGUGAGCUUUAGGAUCUCCAGUGAUACGUACUAGUAGAUGACACUGUGCAAAUAUAUGGGGACUGAACCCUGAACACCUAAACUUUUACACACCUUCAUUGUUCUGCCAGAUUUCUGGAAAUAUGCAAUGCAGUAAGGAUUUGAGAAGUUGUUACUAAGUACUUUUAGGAAGCAGUUUAGCAUUUCUGAAUUUUUGUUUUCAGAGUCUUGGUGCCUUGGUAAAAUUUUUCAUUACAAAAAAUAUUUCAAAUUACCCAACUUCUAUUUCCACCAAAAAAAUCUAUGUGGACUUUUACUUACAGUGUAGUUAAUUUAUUUUCUUGGAUUUAGGUCAUACCAACUGUCAGUUGGCCUUUUCCACUUAAAAGUUCUCAAUAUUCUGACAUCUCUUUAGAGAAACUGAUUAUAGAAUCGUUACAUUCUUUUAAGUUUACUUAAUGUAAAUAGUUUUCAGGCCUCCGGGCUUUUCGUUAUGCUUAUACUGAACAAAGUAAUUUUUAAUGGCUUCUCUGUUUCUUUUGGUAAUGCCAUAUUCUAAAGUACUGUGUUCUUCUGGUUUUUGUAAAUAUCUUGAAAAAUUUGUUCCAUAAGAAAGAAUGUCAUAUUUAAUCUUAAUGCAGGAUCAAUCAAAAAAAAUGUCCCUUUGGAAUCAGAGUGUACAAACAUGUGACUUGAAAUAAUGGUGCUGUAAUAUACUCAACUGAAGGCUUUUAAUAGUAUCUUUCACAAUACCCAUCAGUUAUUUCAAGUUUUGCUUUUAAGUUAAUUAAGCAUGCUUUGGGGAGUCCUUUUGUUCAUUUUUUUUUUUCUGCAGUGGGAGCAGCUGGAGAUACACUGAUGUCAGAAAUCAGAGUACAGGUGUAGAGUAAUUCCCAGUAGGGCUCCAAAGCAAGCAUUUACUACUUUUCUUGUCUCUCAUCAGUGAACUCAGUUUUGUCAGUGCAUAUACUGAAAUUGAAAUCAUGCAGAGGAAUGUAGUGUGGUCCCUGAACAAGAAUCAUGUGUGAAUUUAAGGACUGGUUCUCUAUCACAGUGUAGCUAAGAAGAAAAUAACUGAAUGCUGCCUUUGAAGAACUCAAUCCUGUUACUACUUCUGCUACUAGUCUUGUUGACUCAAAUUUUUAGAUGCAUUCAUAAUUUUUUUUUUGGUGUUGAGUGUGGAGCCUGACUUGCAUAUAUAUCAUGUACUAUUCUUGCAGCUGAAGUGAGUAGAAGAUCUGUUUAAAACAAGUAAUGAUCUACAAAAAUGCAUAUAUAUAUAGCUAUUCUUAAAAACCUGUGUCUUGAUUUAGAAAUAAAAAGUUGCAAAUAUUAUUAUCUUUAUGUAACUUCUUUCCUCUUAGCACAACGAAGAUUACACUUUUGCUUUCCUAUACAGGAUAUUGUAAUAUAAAGAAAUGUUUGUGAACGAUCAAAAUACUGUAGUGUUUAACAGUACUGAAAUCUUGAUAAAGAAACAAAUGUUUGUUUUUGAGACUAAACUUAAAUGAUAGGAAACACUAAAGUUGUAAGGUGUUUCAGUAGACAGUGAAGAUAAAAGAAAAUAUUGAUGAAUUAAUCAUUAGUAAAUUAUCAUGUAUUUCCAUAUUAAUGUAUAGUUCCUGAGACUGGAAGUCACAAGGGCUUUUUCUAAUUGAGGAAUAUGGAAAAUACCAGCAUUAUGUACCUCUUCAUCCCAGAAUUGUCCUCUUGGAUUUGACUGCCACCUGCUGUUGUGCUUAGUAGAGCUAAAGAUACAAGGUGUAGAGGAAUAAAUGAUGUCUUUCUCCCAA